UACGAAGGGAGCUAGCGUUGUUCGGAAUUACUGGGCGUAAAGGGCGCGUAGGCGGCUUCGAAAGUUGGGCGUGAAAUCCCCGGGCUCAACCUGGGAACUGCAUUUGUGACUGCACGGCUCGAGUGCGGCAGAGGGGGAUGGAAUUCCGCGUGUAGCAGUGAAAUGCGUAGAUAUGCGGAGGAACACCGAUGGCGAAGGCAAUCCCCUGGGCCUGCACUGACGCUCAUGCACGAAAGCGUGGGGAGCAAACAGG
rnacentral:rRNA from 1 species